UCCUAGCCCCGAUAGGAACGGUUACCCCACAGCAAGAAUUGGAUUAGCUUUGGCGCGAGGAGUAAAAGUGGAUAGCGGGAAACAGC
rnacentral:sRNA from 1 species